GGAUGUGAGGGCGAUCUGGCUGCGACAUCUGUCAACCCAUUGAUCGCUCAGGGUUGAUUCGGCUGAUCUGCUGGCUAGGCGGGUGUCCCCUUCCCCCUCACCGCUCCAUGUGCGUCCCUCUCUGCGCUCGGUCGAAGAGGACGACAUCCCGAUAGAGGGACCGUUCUUCGGUCAAGGGUAUACGAGUAGCUGCGCUCCCCUGCUAGAACCUCCAAACAAGCUCUCAUCUCUAAUUUUGAAAAUUUGAAUCUUCCCUUUUUUUGGUUAGUUUGUCUAAGGGUUUGCCAAUCUUG
rnacentral:sRNA from 1 species